rnacentral:rRNA from 1 species
GAUGAACGCUGGCGGCGUGCCUAAUACAUGCAAGUCGAGCGAACAGACGAGGAGCUUGCUCCUCUGACGUUAGCGGCGGACGGGUGAGUAACACGUGGAUAACCUACCUAUAAGACUGGGAUAACUUCGGGAAACCGGAGCUAAUACCGGAUAAUAUAUUGAACCGCAUGGUUCAAUAGUGAAAGACGGUUUUGCUGUCACUUAUAGAUGGAUCCGCGCCGCAUUAGCUAGUUGGUAAGGUAACGGCUUACCAAGGCAACGAUGCGUAGCCGACCUGAGAGGGUGGUCGGCCACACUGGAACUGAGACACGGCACAGACUCCUACGGGAGGCAGCAGUAGGGAAUCUUCCGCAAUGGGCGAAAGCUUGACGGAGCAACGCCGCGUGAGUGAUGAAGGUCUUCGGAUCGUAAAACUCUGUUAUUAGGGAAGAACAAAUGUGUAAGUAACUAUGCACGUCUUGACGGUACCUAAUCAGAAAGCCACGGCUAACUACGUG